rnacentral:tRNA from 1 species
CAGGGAGACAACAAAAUGUUUAAUAUUAUUAUUUUGUCACCUUAGGUCGAUCGGUAUCUCACGUUCUUAACUAUUUAAGAAUUUCAAUUCCUAAGUUUUUCUAGGUCACACCCAUUUUUUUUCCUGGGCCAUUAGCUCAGGUGGUUAGAGCGCACCCCUGAUAAGGGUGAGGUCCCUGGUUCAAGUCCAGGAUGGCCCAUAUCUCUAUGUUGGGGGUAUAGCUCAGUUGGUAGAGCGCCUGCUUUGCAAGCAGGAUGUCAGCGGUUCGAGUCCGCUUACCUCCACUGAUUACCACCUCUUCCAUAAUUUGUAGAAAGGAAAUUUUUGAGUCGUGAUCAACUUCUGAACGAAUCUAGCUUCCUAAUGAAAGCAUUAAGAUGCUGGACUCAUUGAAUUAAUUUCAUUGUUUUCAGAGAACCUUGACAACUGCAUAGAUUAUUUUUAAAGACAAUAAGCAUCUUUAAUGAUGCAGAUUUAUUAUUUGUGCAAAUGCAUUAAUAACAAUUCUAUUAAGCUGAUGCUUCAA